rnacentral:misc_RNA from 1 species
GUGAGUCAUCGAAUCUUUGAACGCACAUUGCGCCCCUUGGUAUUCCAUGGGGCAUGCCUGUUCGAGCGUCAUCUAAACCCUCAAGCUCUGCUUGGUGUUGGGCGUCUGUCCCGCCUCUGCGCGUGGACUCGCCCCAAAUUCAUUGGCAGCGGUCUUUGCCUCCUCUCGCGCAGCACAAUGCGCUUCUUGAGGGUCGUAGCCCGCGUCCAUUAAGCAAUUUUUACUGUUUGACCUCGGAUCAGGUAGGGAUACCCGCUGAACUUAAGCAUAUCAAUAAGCGGAGGA